UUUUUUCUGGAUUUAUCAAAAACAAAAUCACGUUUAUCCAUCCCAAACAGACCUUUGUUGGAUUGCAAUCCGAUCCGAUCCGUUUUAAGCCCUUGUCUUUACUCUUUAAUUUUUAUAGGUUUAUUUUACUCAUUUAAGUCCGGCAUGGCUUAAAAAAUUUAGAACGGCCAUUCAAGAUAAAUUUUUAGAGUACUGGGGAUUUUCAUCAGGAAUCGGCUGAGAUGCUAAGGAAAACUGCUAUUGUAAGUGGUGGUUUAAUGGUGAUCAUCUCUUCCCUGUACUGGACAUGGACGUUGUAAAGCUCACCUUUGAGAUUGUACGAUCUUGUUCUCAAUCGUUAUCUUCCAACUGAUCUACUUGAUUAACAGCAACCCGUGAACGCUGAUGGAAUAGGUUAUCACUGCACGGUAGGGACAUGGACAUGGCCAAACAAAACUUCCGACUCGUCAAAGGGCAAGCCACUGGACGUCGUGGAUGACUAACCAGAAAAUCUGAUGGACUUCAGUCCUUAAUUCAAUUAAAUUGAUCCCUGGAUCGACCCAUCAAUUGUAAUACCAGAGUUUUUUUCUCUUUAUCAAGAAAUUUGAAUUGAGAGGGUUUUUGGUUAUUAGAGCAACUACCUAGACUAUGUUCCUAGGAAGCGAAAUAGUGAUGCAAUCCAUCAUUCGAUGAUGAUUCGGAUCGAUGCCAGCGUGACUUUUUGCCCACUUGUUUAGUUAUUGCUUCUGGACCUUCGACACACAUCAGAUCUACGACAGUCUACUUGGACAUCUAAAGAGAUUUUGUUCAGCAAGGGGAGGAAUGAAAAUCGCCAGAGGAUUUAAGUACUGACUAAAUUUCGAGUUUCUAUUUGCAUUUCAGUAUCUCUUUCUUUAUUUACUCUUACUAAACUUUUAGCUAUACGAGUUUUGUUUAAAUCAGUUUAUGUGGGAGUGGUAGAUAAAGAAAAUUAGAUGAUACUAAAGGGUUUUUUUGUCUUUUUAUAUUUUGGACUGAAUUGACAGUUUUUGAAAGUUUGGGGAUUGUAAUGACACUUUUUAAAGUUCUGGUACUAAAUUGAGACUAUC